rnacentral:rRNA from 1 species
GAUGAACGCUGGCGGCGUGCCUAAUACAUGCAAGUCGAGCGAACGGACGAGGAGCUUGCUCCUCUGACGUUAGCGGCGGACGGGUGAGUAACACGUGGAUAACCUACCUAUAAGACUGGGAUAACUUCGGGAAACCGGAGCUAAUACCGGAUAAUAUAUUGAACCGCAUGGUUCAAUAGUGAAAGACGGUUUUGCUGUCACUUAUAGAUGGAUCCGCGCCGCAUUAGCUAGUUGGUAAGGUAACGGCCUACCAAGGCAACGAUGCGUAGCCGACCUGAGAGGGUGAUCGGCCACACUGGAACUGAGACACGGUCCAGACUCCUACGGGAGGCAGCAGUAGGGAAUCUUCCGCAAUGGGCGAAAGCCUGACGGAGCAACGCCGCGUGAGUGAUGAAGGUCUUCGGAUCGUAAAACUCUGUUAUUAGGGAAGAACAAAUGUGUAAGUAACUAUGCACGUCUUGACGGUACCUAAUCAGAAAGCCACGGCUAACUACGUG